rnacentral:rRNA from 1 species
UCAGGCCUAACACAUGCAAGUCGAGCGCGAAAGCACUUCGGUGUGAGUAGAGCGGCGGACGGGUGAGUAACGCGUAGGAAUCUACCUGGUAGUGGGGGACAACUCGGGGAAACUCGAGCUAAUACCGCAUACGCCCUAAGGGGGAAAGCGGGGGAUCUUCGGACCUCGUGCUAUCAGAUGAGCCUGCGUUGGAUUAGCUAGUUGGUGGGGUAAUGGCCUACCAAGGCGACGAUCCAUAGCUGGUCUGAGAGGAUGAUCAGCCACACCGGGACUGAGACACGGCCCGGACUCCUACGGGAGGCAGCAGUGGGGAAUAUUGCGCAAUGGGCGAAAGCCUGACGCAGCCAUGCCGCGUGUGUGAAGAAGGCCUUCGGGUUGUAAAGCACUUUCAAUUGGGAGGAAAGGUUCACGGUUAAUACCCGUGAGCUGUGACGUUACCUUUAGAAGAAGCACCGGCUAACUCCGUGCCAGCAGCCGCGGUAAUACGGAGGGUGCGAGCGUUAAUCGGAAUUACUGGGCGUAAAGCGCGCGUAGGUGGUCUGUUAAGUCGGAUGUGAAAGCCCCGGGCUCAACCUGGGAACUGCACCCGAUACUGGCAGACUAGAGUGCGGGAGAGGGAGGUAGAAUUCCAUGUGUAGCGGUGAAAUGCGUAGAUAUGUGGAGGAAUACCAGUGGCGAAGGCGGCCUCCUGGCUCGACAC